GUUCCUGUGGCGCAGUUGGUUAGCGCAGUCGGCCGUUAACCGAAAGGUUGGUGGUUCGAGUCCACCCAGGGACG
rnacentral:tRNA from 1 species